rnacentral:rRNA from 1 species
GAUCUGGCUCAGGACGAACGCUGGCGGCGUGCCUAACACAUGCAAGUCGAACGGAACUGUUUUGAAAGAUUUCUUCGGAAUGAAUUUGAUUUAGUUUAGUGGCGGACGGGUGAGUAACGCGUGAGUAACCUGCCUUCAAGAGGGGGAUAACAUUCUGAAAAGGAUGCUAAUACCGCAUGAUAUAUCGGAACCACAUGGUUUUGAUAUCAAAGAUUUUAUCGCUUGAAGAUGGACUCGCGUCCGAUUAG